AUUUGAAAAACCAUUGCAUAUAAUAUAUAUAUUUUAGAAAUUCUCACUAGAAUACAAAGAAUUCUCCAUCCAAACAGAAUUCAAGAUCAAUUCAAAAUCGUUUUAUUAUCAGGUGGAACCUGGCAAAAAAAAUUAUGAAAAUGCAUCGUGUUAUAAUACACUCUUUGACCAGAAGGGGGCGUCUGGAUAUGCUAUUCCUGACACUAAUGAAUAACAGCAGCAUCUCCAGCAAUGUGCACCCUGAUUUUGAAAAUAAACAUCAAAAAUUAAAGGUCAUUCAUCCCAUUCCAGUGAAGUUAGCAAUUCCUCAUAAACAUUAAACAAACAAAAAAAAAACACAAAACAAAGUUAUUUUGUUCCAGAAUUCAGGGACUUUAAAAGUCAUGAUUAAUGAGGAGACCUUGACCAAAAAUUGGUAUUUAGAGUAAGCUUUAUUAAUAAGUGAUGGUGUUGGAAAAAGAAAUGGCGUACAUGCAGACAUUUUGGGAAGUUCAUUCCUGGAUCUUAUUUAAAGGUCAGGCUACAUUGGAAAGCUUUAGAAAAGGGUAAUCCUCAAAAAGUUCAUUUUAAAAGUGAGAGUUGUGCAAGGUACUUUUGUACCUUCCAAACAGCGUUAUGCUACUACCGUCUUUAUCAGUGUUUCUGUGAGUUGUUCCACUAAAGGUCAGACACCGACAGGGACAUUCAGUGUUUUUGAUUUAGAGGGAAAGGACACAGUACGUCAACUGAACGACAGUCAAAACAUCGGGAUGUUGUUGCACUUACAUUAAAGCUUUUUAGGCCAACUGCAACGAGUGACAUUUAUCAUAAAAUGAGUAUAAAGGGUUUAACAAGUGACUUCAGUGAAAACAGAACAAACUGUAGGGUUUUGGUAGAUAACAGAGGCUCAGAAGGUAGAAAUACAAUGGAGAGAAAAGGGAAGAGCAAAGAAAAGGGUGUAAAUUGUCAUAAAAAAUUAAUCACUCAAAAGGUUAAUCAGUCAUUUUAUGAUGGUGUUUAGAAUAUGUUUAUAAUUGUUUACCAAAAUAUGGCAGGGAAGCAGGAUUUAGAGCUGCUGUUCAACAAAAGAGAGAAAAGAUGUUCAAGAUGAACCACUAGAAUUUGAUAGUCCUCAAGGAGACUAAAGUUAAGUAACACAUAUUUAAUCAAAACCCACUCCCUGUGUUGCUGAAUGAUUUAAAAAAAAUACCAUGAAUACUACGAAUAUGUGGCAAGAAUGUAAAUGCUAUAAAUGGGUGAAAUGUAUAGUAUAUAAAGGGUAUUAUGACUGGGUUUAUAGCACACUCUUCAGGAAAGGAAGGAUGGAAGUUUGCGAACUUGAAAAUGCUAAAAAAAUAACAAGCAGAAUAUGUUUUAGUAAGUGUAGCGUUCAUUAUUUAAAACGAUAUAUAUCUGGUAUUUAGAGAGCUGGGGAGAGGGAAAGUACGGAAGACAUGUUGACACCGAAUUGUUUUUCUUACACAACAGAAAGAAAACGAUUUUAAAAAAUGGGGGGCAGCUUAACUACAACAGAUUAAAAAAAGUUUACGCCAACAUUUGACAUUUUCCUUGUGUAUAUAUACACUGACAUUGAAUCCUUUGUUUGAAAAGCUCUGGCAAAGACUGUUUUCCUCACUUGUGAAGGGGGCGGGGCUAAGUAGUUGAGAGUAUGGUGUUCCAGCCAAUCAGAGGCCGAGAUUUCCGAAGCACACAUACAUUCAUAUACGCUCAGUACGUGCCAAACGUGACUCACACAUUAACGGUGUUGUGUUGUUUAUGAAGGAGUGUGUGUACAUGGGACAUGGGAUGAACAAAAGAUCAGUCUGUCGUCAAGAAUUAUUUCAUAAUUUGGGUUCGACAUCAGUAACAGCUGACUGCAAGAACACAUGUCAAGACAGACUUCACCAUGAACAACACUGAUAUAUUUGUAGUUUUGUGGACAUAUAAUGACUUGACUUAACGGUUAAUAUGGAAACAGAGAAUAUUUAAGUGUUUUUGUUUUCGGAUUCCCACAUUAUUAUCAUGUUUUAUUGUAAUAUCUACUCAAUAGUUUCAUAAUAAUUUUGAAAUUGUUGAUUCAUAUAAUAAUUUAGAUAAAGACGUUUGGAGGAUGGGGGGGUUUGAAAAUCAUUUUUUAUGUCUGAAAUGGCAUUUUAUUUCUAUUUUUGUCAUUAAUUGAUUGUUCUUGAUUCUAGAAAAGAAACGCUUUAAAGCAUCAACCAGCAGAUGGCACUCUUAGCGUCGACGUCCAACCAAUCAGCGUGGAGUAUCCUCUCUGGACUGUGAGGAGCUGCAGCCAACACUUAGAGACAAACAGCUAUUCACGCUCUCAUUCUUACCUACUGUCAAUGCAGGGUGUCCAGUUCACCUAACCCAGCAUGUUUCUGGACCGUAGCAGGAAGUGGGCGUACCUGGAAAAAAUACACACAGGGACAAUGCACCAUCAGUUUCCACUGACAGUGGAAUGAGGCAAAAGCACUUAACACUUUCACACCGUAUGGUCCCUUACAGAUUUAUGAAACAACUGAAAAAAAGUUUCAUCCAGCCACCUGCAAGAACAAUUACCUAAAACUUCAUUUAAUCUUAACACAAAUUGACACGUGUUCAAAACGAGGUGGACACAGGUCAACAGUUAUCAAAUUCCACUCUGUCUCCUUUAUCCAUGUCAUAUAAUUAUCCCACUUUCUUAAUACAUACUGUUGUUUGGUAUGUCAACCUGUUGCAGUUCAGCUGCUUCAGUCACAGUAGGGCUCAUUACAGAAGGAAAAAAGAGCUUUUCUUCUUUUAACCUAUGUGUCAGUACAGCAGCCUAUUAAGUCAGCUGGUAACUAACUCAAUCAUCUUUGUUAAGUGAGUGAGGAAAAACCAACACAUUUAUCAUGAUGGCCUCCUCCAUCAGACCAUGUGAAGUGAACCACAUGACUCUGUUGAGCAACGUCAGGUUCCACUUCUGGGGUUUUUCAGGUUGUACUCUUGACCAACUUGUAUCAUUGUAAUAGACUUUUUUUAAUAGUGUUUUUUGACUAAAUAUACUUUUUUUGCUUUGAUAAUGGUAAUAAAACCUGACUCUGACCUAUCAAUGAAUUCCAACUGAUUAGUACAACCGAGGGGAGGUUACCUCACCAUAUACUACAGUACCUCUGAUGUUGGAGAUCUUUUAUCAUACUUAAUAAUAAGGUAUAUAUUUGUCCUUGAAGUACUACAGUUAAGAUAUACUUGGAUUUUUUUUCUAUUUUCCUUAUUUCCACCACUUUUUCAUAUAAAGGCAUUCAAAUUGAACCCCAGCAUCAAGUGUGAAACACGGCAGCAACUCUUGGCAACAAUUCUUUGCAAAAAGCUUUUUAGUUAUUACAAAAUAAUGUAAUAGCCAGCUCUUUAUAUAUAUGUUUAUCUAUCUUUAAUCUUUAUUUUGUUAAUGAUGUUAAAGUGCAGUAACUGCAGUACUGCAUGGGGGUGUAUCAGUAUGUUGUUUUUCUUUUCUUUCUUUUUUUUCUUUUACAGUUUUUCAUACAAUUACCGUAUCUGUGUAGCUGUAAAACAACGUCUCUUUAAACAUGAUUUAAUCUUAAGUGCAUGUGCAUGUCUGUGCAUGUCUGUGCUUGCCUGCGUGUGUAUGACGUCUGUGUGUGUUAAAUAUUCACACCUUGCUGAGUUGUAUUAAGCACUUUAUCACAUUUUCCAGACCACCGCGAGUUUAAGUUUGCUUUGGGCAACUUCAUAUUAAUGUGAAGGUUUAUUUUGAAAAUGGAACGUGUCAGCAAGAAUUGUGGUGAAUUAAAACAUGAUGUGUUUGUGUGUCAGUUGAUAAGCAAUAGUGCAGUUAGUAAAGGAAGUAUUUGAAGACUCCUGAUCCACUUUCA